CAACUUUCAGCAACGGAUCUCUUGGCUCUCGCAUCGAUGAAGAACGCAGCGAAAUGCGAUAAGUAAUGUGAAUUGCAGAAUUCAGUGAAUCAUCNAAUCUUUGAACGCACCUUGCGCUCCUUGGUAUUCCGAGGAGCAUGCCUGUUUGAGUGUCCGC
rnacentral:rRNA from 1 species